AGCUGCGGGAGGGCAGCAAGGGUCAGCACCAGACCAGUCCCACCAGUCCAGACAGCCACUGGUCUCAGGCCUUCUGGCUGGUACUCCAAGCCCAGGCUAGCCUUCUAAGAUUAUUCUGGGUCUUGCAAGUCGUCGGUGCCCUUGUGCCCACUUGACUCACCCAUGCCCUGUGACGUCCCUAUUCCAACUCAGAAGGACUCCUUCCUUCGCUCCUCCCGCCACUUGAGAGCCCGGCGUGACUUCUCAUGCUCCCAGCUGCCAGCAUUCCCCACCAAGAGACACAGGAUUCAGCUCAGCUCACCUGUGCUUCUAAGCUCCAGGCUCCCCCAUGCCAAACCUGAACCUGGGUGGGUCUAAAGGGUCCCAGGAUAGGGGCGAGCAUACCUGGCGAUGACACACUGGGAGACUUUAGGGCUGGGGAGAAUCCCUUGAACCCAGCAAAGUCUGGGCGCCCAUUGAUUCCCAUGUCUACAACUGAAGGCCACGGGUGGCUCCGCCAUGAGUAACUGGCUCCAAGCAAGGAGCAGCUCCAGAGGCCACAGGGCUGACCACCACAAAGCCCCAAAUCUAGUUGCCAGAAACACAGAGAACUUCUGUCUGCAAUCAAAUUUCAGAUUCACAGCAAAGGGACUGGUUUAGUUAAGGUCGUCUCAACUCUUCUUGCGUGAGACAUUCGUCUGAAAUCCAAGUGGGGGUAGCUGAGCUUUGUCUGGGUGUGGCCCGGCAGGCCUGCUCUUA
rnacentral:sRNA from 1 species